rnacentral:rRNA from 1 species
UAAAUAGUUAGGCCAACCUUGGUUGGCCGCCAACUUCUUAGAGGGACUAUUGACGUUUAGUCAAUGGAAGUUUGAGGCAAUAACAGGUCUGUGAUGCCCUUAGAUGUUCUGGGCCGCACGCGCGCUACACUGACGAAGUCAGCGAGUCUAUAACCUUGGCCGGAAGGUCUG